GACACAAAACAGAAAUGCUGCUCUGCAGAUGAGUAGACACAGCUUUGUGCCAGACAGGAUGCAUGAAGCAGCCCUACAGGUGCCUUAAGACAGUAGCAUCACAGUGUAGGCAUGAUGCGGAGCUCGUGUAAUCAUUGAAUCAUAGAAUGGUUUGGCUUGGAAGGGGCCCUAAAGAUCAUCUAGUUCCAACCCCCCUGCCAUGGGCAGGGACACCUCUCACUAGACCAGGAUGCUCAAGGCCCUAUCUAGCCUGGCCUUGAACAUUUCCAGGGGCACCUACAACUUCCCUGGGCGACCUGUUCCAGUGUCUCAGCACCCUCAUAGUGAAGAAAUUCUUCCUAAUAUCUAUAUGUCUCCCCUCUUCCAGUUUGAAGUCAUUACCCCUCAUCCUAUCAGUACAUGCCCUUGUAAAAAGUUCUUCUCCAGCUUUCUUCUAGGCGCCCUUCAGAUAUUGGAAGGCUGCUAAAAGGUCUCUCUGAAACCUUCUCUUCUCCAGGCUGAACAGCCCCAACUUUCUCACCCUGUCUUCAUAGGAGAGAUGCUCCAGGCCUUUGAUCAUCUUUGUGGCCCUCCUUUGGACUGUCUCCAACAGGUCCAUGUCCUUCUUGUGCUGAAUACUCCAAAGCUGGAUGCAGUACUCCAAAGCUGGAUGCAGUACUCCAAAGCUGGAUGCAGUACUCCAAAGCUGGAUGCAGUACUCCAAAGCUGGAUGCAGUACUCCAAAGCUGGAUGCAGUACUCCAAAGCUGGAUGCAGUACUCCAAAGCUGGAUGCAGUACUCCAAAGCUGGAUGCAGUACUCCAAAGCUGGAUGCAGUACUCCAGGAUGUUACUUAUUCUGCCCUGAACUAUAGAGGAAUACAUGUUAGUAAUUUAACUGGGAAACGUUGUGAGUUUAAAUCUCAAGAAGGAUCAGGACCUGGGCAAUAUGAAGUAACUCAGAAAAUAACAAUUUUGGAAUAAACAGGGAAACUGCAGUGCAUUAUGAAAACAUCAACAACAAAAAAGAAGGCAAGAAAAAAUAUGACCUCUUCAUCCCACAGUACCAUGAAAUAAUAGAAUUACAGGAAGAAAAGGAGAGAGACUUCCCUCACUGGAGCUUCCCCACUGCAACUCUCUGACCCUUGUUCACUGCCUGAAUUGAUGAACGGUUGGAUUUGCAUCAAUACUUUGCUCAUAAGUAGUUGGCUUUUGUGAUGCCAUCACCUUCAUGUGGAAAUUGGUAGAAUGAGUUAAAUUGUCACUAGCUUUUGUGUUAAUCAUUAUUAAAAAAAAAAAAAAAUCCAUUAACUUGUAGUCUGUUCACCAUAGAAACUUCCUUCCUACACUUCUGUCAGGUUGUAUUAUUUAGAAAGUACGAAUAAAUGUAGAGUUUUGCAACUGGUAGCUAUUUCCUUGAAGUUUUUUUUGGGUUUACUGUUAGUGUCAGAGGUCAUGUGUUUAUAAAUCACUAUGAAUGUUGUGAACUUUUAUUUUUCUGGGUAAUAAAAGUAAUGAAUUUCUCAUAAAGUUUUCAUGUCAGCUUUUAAGGUUGUCCAAAGAAAAGUAAUAGAAGCAUAUACGUAUGUAUAUAUAUCCUUUUUUCUUUUAAUGGGAGAAGACAACAUUAAAGUGUGUGUGUAUUAAGGAGUGUGACAGAUAUAUCCUAGUAAGACUAAUGAUUACCUGAAAUACUUUUCUUUGCUUUUGAAGCUUAACCCUUUUGCUCAUCAAUCAGUCAGCAGUGGCAGGUAGUGACCAUUAGGUGGAUUCAUUAGCACCCUGCAGCCUUCUUGUACAGGGUGACCCACAUCUGUCUUCAUUAGAAGUUUGCUACUUGCCAGUAGUGAACAGAUGGGUCAUUAUAGCCUACAUCGCCCUCUGGGCAUACCUGGAGGACGGGCAAAGUCGUCCGAUACAGGACACAGAUGCAUAUUUACUUGAUAGAAAUGGGGCAAGAUAUUUCUGAUAAGUGUAAUAAUGUUAGGCUUUUCCUCAAACUAGAUACCUUAUACUUAAAGGUUUUAUUAUUUUUCUGUCUGAUAGCAGCUUUAUGAACAUGAAAGUAUGGCUAAAAUAGAGACUUGAAUUACUGAUGACCAUCUCUUAACAAAAUAUUAUAGAGUACAACAUAUAGCAAAGCUCAAUUGUUAAUUAGUAUUUUCAUUUGAACUCUAGGUGCCAUUUUCAAUGUCUCAUUUUCCUCUUCUACAACCAGAA